GACAGAGGGGGCAAGCGUUGCUCGGAAUUACUGGGCGUAAAGGGCGCGUAGGCGGGAUGGCAAGUCGGUCGUGAAAUCCCUCGGCUCAACCGAGGAACGUCGAUCGAUACUGCUGUUCUUGAGGAUUGCAGAGGAGACUGGAAUUCCCGGUGUAGCGGUGAAAUGCGUAGAUAUCAGGAGGAACACCGGUGGCGAAGGCGGCUUUCUGGACAGUAACUGACGCUGAGGCGCGAAAGCUAGGGGAGCAAACAGG
rnacentral:rRNA from 1 species